rnacentral:rRNA from 1 species
CCUACGGGAGGCAGCAGUGAGGAAUAUUGGUCAAUGGACGAGAGUCUGAACCAGCCAAGUAGCGUGAAGGAUGACUGCCCUAUGGGUUGUAAACUUCUUUUAUAUGGGAAUAAAACGUUCCACGUGUGGGAUUUUGUAUGUACCAUAUGAAUAAGGAUCGGCUAACUCCGUGCCAGCAGCCGCGGUAAUACGGAGGAUCCGAGCGUUAUCCGGAUUUAUUGGGUUUAAAGGGAGCGUAGGUGGAUUGUUAAGUCAGUUGUGAAAGUUUGCGGCUCAACCGUAAAAUUGCAGUUGAAACUGGCAGUCUUGAGUACAGUAGAGGUGAGCGGAAUUCGUGGUGUAGCGGUGAAAUGCGUAGAUAUCACGAAGAACUCCGAUUGCGAAGGCAGUUCACUGGACUGCAACUGACACUGAGGCUCGAAAGUGUGGGUAUCAAACAGGAUUAGAUACCCCGGUAGUC